UAGUCAUAUGCUUGUCUCAAAGAUUAAGCCAUGCAAGUCUAAGUAUUAGUUUUAAUACAACGAAACUGCGAAUGGCUCAUUAAAACAGUUAUAAUUUACGUGAAUAUAAUUACUACACGGAUAACCGUGGUAAUUCUGGAGCUAAUACGUGCAUAACGCCCGACUUCGGAAGGGUGGCACUUAUUAGAUUGAGAACUAACCUAUGCUCUGCAUAGCUGUUUGGUGAUCCAUAAUAAGUUGGCGAAUCGCAUGGUCUAGGCUGGCGAUGGUUCACUUAA
rnacentral:rRNA from 1 species